GUGGGGAAUCUUGCGCAAUGGGCGAAAGCCUGACGCAGCCAUGCCGCGUGAAUGAUGAAGGUCUUAGGAUUGUAAAAUUCUUUCACCGGGGACGAUAAUGACGGUACCCGGAGAAGAAGCUCCGGCUAACUUCGUGCCAGCAGCCGCGGUAAUACGAAGGGGGCUAGCGUUGCUCGGAAUUACUGGGCGUAAAGGGCGCGUAGGCGGACAGCUUAGUCAGAGGUGAAAUCCCGGGGCUCAACCUCGGAACUGCCUUUGAUACUGGGUGUCUUGAGUAUGAGAGAGGUGUGUGGAACUCCGAGUGUAGAGGUGAAAUUCGUAGAUAUUCGGAAGAACACCAGUGGCGAAGGCGACUCACUGGCCCAAUACUGACGCUGAGGCGCGAAAGCGUGGGGAGCAAACAGGAUUAGAUACCCUUGUAGUCC
rnacentral:rRNA from 1 species